CAGUCGCCGCGGGAAUACGAAGGGGGCUAGCGUUGCUCGGAAUGACUGGGCGUAAAGGGCGCGUAGGCGGAUUGUUUAGUUAGGCGUGAAAUUCCUGGGCUUAACCUGGGGACUGCGCUUAAUACAGGCAGUCUAGAGUGAGGAAGAGGGUUGUGGAAUUCCCAGUGUAGAGGUGAAAUUCGUAGAUAUUGGGAAGAACACCGGUGGCGAAGGCAGCCCCCUGGGCCAAUACUGACGCUCAUGCACGAAAGCGUGGGGAGCAAAUGGGAUUAGAUACCCCAGUAGUCCCUGUCUCUUAUAC
rnacentral:rRNA from 1 species